AUACGGAGGAUGCGAGCGUUCUCCGGAUUUAUUGGGUUUAAAGGGUGCGUAGGCUGUGCGUUAAGUCAGGGGUGAAAUGCCGUCGCUCAACGACGGAGCUGCCCUUGAUACUGGCGUGCUGGAGUAUGGAUGCCGUUGGAGGAAUGAGUGGUGUAGCGGUGAAAUGCUUAGAUAUCACUCAGAACACCGAUUGCGAAGGCAUCUGACGAAUCCGUCACUGACGCUGAGGCACGAAAGCGUGGGGAUAGAACAGGAUUAGAUACCCUGGUAUUCCACGCCGUAAACGAUGAUGGCUAGCCGUCGGCGAUAGACAGCCGGUGGCCAAGCGAAAGCGAUAAGUCAUCCACCUGGGGAGUACGUCGGCAACGAUGAAACUCAAAGGAAUUGACGGGG
rnacentral:rRNA from 1 species